UACACACACAUACAUUUAACUGAAUAUAAUGGAGAAGGCUUGCUCUUUAAAAAUAACAUUUGUUAUUGCUGCAGUUAGAAAAACAAUGCCCCUUUAUUGUAUUUUUUUUCUUGACCCUACAGAAUGCCUGGUGGUAACCAGCCUUCCAUGUGGCUGAACAGAUGCCAGUGUACCCGAAUUCUGAGACACAAUUGGAUGUUCUUUUCUUCUGCUUUUAAGAUUCCCAAUUCGAGAUGAUGUGCAGUUCAUGUUAGAUUUGCUAUUUCUACAGUUACAGUGAAGUAGAAGAGUCCGGUCAUGUUAUGGGUCAGCAGUUAAACAAGAAGAAUGGAGAGAUGUAUGCCAUAUUGAAGUAGUAGGUGGCCCUCCUGCCUGGCACUUCUAGAAUCCUCCAUCUCAAUUUCUGCUCUGAUCUGCUGUGCCUUUGCCAAGUGAUCACGAUUUAAUUGCAGUGGUGCCCCAUCUGCAUCUCCACCGUCUGUUACAUCAACUCCAACUGCCUGUGAUACUAGAGAGAAGAAAAGUUCACAAGAUGUCCUGAAAUGGAAUUGUGAUUGGACUGAGACGGCCACAAUUAUGUAUGCUGUGAUGUGCACAGCGGGCCAUACGGGCUUUGGCUUGGGACCCCCAGAGGUUUAUUAUCUCCAGCAUCUUUGAAAGCUGCAAGUUUGUCUUUGUUCCCGGCCAUUUGACCAGGCAGUGUAUUUAUUACAAAGGACAAGGAUCCCUCCAUUUGCUUCUUAUUUACUUUUAUAAUGCCUUCAAUUUUCUUUGUAACUGUAUUUUUUUGUAGAGCAAUUUGAGCUACACUUGUAAGAAAGGGUGAUAUAGAAAU